GGGGAACUAGCUCAAAUGGUAGAGCGCUCGCUUAGCAUGCGAGAGGCACCGAGAUCGAUGCUCGGGUUCUCCA